rnacentral:rRNA from 1 species
GACGAACGCUGGCGGCGUGCCUAAUACAUGCAAGUCGAACGAGAGCGACCGGUGCUUGCACUGGUCAAUCUAGUGGCGAACGGGUGAGUAACACGUGGGUAACCUGCCCAUCAGAGGGGGAUAACAUCCGGAAACGGAUGCUAAAACCGCAUAGGUCUUCGAACCGCAUGGUUUGAAGAGGAAAAGAGGCGCAAGCUUCUGCUGAUGGAUGGACCCGCGGUGCAUUAGCUAGUUGGUGAGGUAACGGCUCACCAAGGCCGUGAUGCAUAGCCGACCUGAGAGGGUGAUCGGCCACACUGGAACUGAGACACGGCCCAGACUCCUACGGGAGGCAGCAGUAGGGAAUCUUCCGCAAUGGACGCAAGUCUGACGGAGCAACGCCGCGUGAGUGAAGAAGGUUUUCGGAUCGUAAAACUCUGUUGUUAGGGAAGAACAAGUGCUAGAGUAACUGUUAGCGCCUUGACGGUAUCUAACCAGAAAGCCACGGCUAACUACGUG